GGGGGGGUCUUAAGGUGUUGUGUUGAGGGUUUGGUAGGUGGAGUCUUGAGGUGCUGUGUUGAGGGUUUGGUAGAUGGAGUCUUGAGGUGCUGUGUUGAGGGUAUGGUAGAUGGAGUCAUUAGGUGCUGUGUUGAGGGUAUGGUAGAUGGAGUCAUUAGGUGCUGUGUUGAGGGUUUGGUAGGUGGAGUCUUGAGGUGGAGUCUUGAGGUGUUGUGUUGAGGGUUUGGUAGGUGGAGUCUUGAGGUGUUGUGUUGAGGGUUUGGUAGGUGGAGUCUUGAGGUGUUGUGC